rnacentral:rRNA from 1 species
AUUGAACGCUGGCGGAAUGCUUUACACAUGCAAGUCGAGCGGCAGCGCGGCCUUCGGGCUGGCGGCGAGCGGCGAACGGGUGAGUAAUGCAUCGGAACAUGCCCAGUCGUGGGGGAUAACACUUCGAAAGAAGUGCUAAUACCGCAUACGUCCUGAGGGGGAAAGCGGGGGAUCGCAAGACCUCGCGCGAUUGGAGUGGCCGAUGUCAGAUUAGCUAGUUGGUGGGGUAGAGGCCUACCAAGGCGACGAUCUGUAGCUGGUCUGAGAGGAUGAUCAGCCACACUGGGACUGAGACACGGCCCAGACUCCUACGGGAGGCAGCAGUGGGGAAUUUUGGACAAUGGGGGCAACCCUGAUCCAGCCAUGCCGCGUGAGUGAAGAAGGCCUUCGGGUUGUAAAGCUCGUGCGGCAGGAACGAAACGGUGGGCUCUAACAUAGUCCGCUAAUGACGGUACCUGAAGAAGAAGCACCGGCUAACUACGUG